GACUUAUCUCCUUCAGCUGCACACCCCUCCUCUUCUCUCUCUUUCCCUUCCUCUCUCCUCUUCUUUCUCUUUCACUUUUCAACGGCAAAAAUAGCAAAUCCACAGUCGCCUUUCACCUUCCUCAGGCCAUGCAUGGCCGGAUUCGGAAAUAAAUUAAUACUUGUACCUCCGUCACAGUUCAAUGUUGAAAAGGGGUCUUCCACUUUCCCUCUUUGAUUCUUUGGAUCUGAAACAUUUUAAUGGAAUUUGUUCGUUUGCAAAAUGGAAACGUUUUUCCUAUUAGUUCUUUUCCAUUUUCGGGUACAAUUCUUAAUGGUUUUUGUCGAUCUACUUUCUUUUUCUGAUCGAGUGGUUGGGAAUACAUACAAAAAUCUGAACGUUGAACUAAAAUCCCGCCCGAUUUUUGAAUCCAAGGAAACCCUAGCCCAAACCCUAAUCCAUCCUAUAAAUAAUCGUUUUUUUUUCAGUCAAGGGGGUUUUUUUGGAGUCGCCGAAAUCCUAAAAAAGGUGUCUUGAGUUGCCUGAAAAUUCCAUAGGAAUCAGAAGCCCCUUUAGCCAAUAAAAAAUCAAAGAAAAAAAAAGAGUUCUUUAGUGCCUAGUAGUUGAAAUAAUUUCUGAUAUCGAGUCCAAAAAUACUAAGUUAUUUCUUUUGUUUUCGUUUGCCUGGUAUUGCUGCGAAUUCGAGUAUACGCAAGUUCGGAUUCGGCGGUGUUUCGAGAUAGGUCCGAGAACCCUCACACCCACUUCGCUGCACCCGAAGAAGAGAGCACAAUAUGAAUCAUUCUAAUCGUGAGUGGAUGUAUGAUAGAAUAUUGGAAGAUGGAUUUAUAAAUCCUAGGUUUAUUGAUGGGGUUGAGGACUUCAUUCCAGACCUACUUUUUUUCCAGAAGAUGUAUGGGAAAGUUGGAAGACAUAUUGGGCCUCUGACAAGUGGUUGGAAAAAUCUCGUAUCGCCACUCAAAAUCGACACAGUGAGACUGGUGGUCCAGGCACUGGUCCAAGCAAGCAUACUGGUGGUUCUAAAUCAACAGUGGAGCAUACUAUAAAAUUGGCAAUAGACCUACGUCGUCCUGCGAAUUCAUGGGAUGUCUUUAAGAAGCUGCACAAAAGAAAGGAUGGUAGCUUUGUUGAUCUUGAUCCCAAGUCUAAGAGCAUUAACAACUUGUGCCCCAUUCUAGCCUUCAGCCACAUGUGUACCAAUCACACACUGCUCCACCCAAACUUCAGUUGCUGCAUGCAGAGUUUUUCCAAGUUACUGCAUGAGAAAUUGUAGAAAAAUUAGGAUGAAAUGGAGGCUAGGGUGGCUGCUGCUAUAAGCUCAUCAUAUGAUUCACAAGAAGUUCAAGAACUCGAUGUAAAUAACAUAUACUUGGAUGUUGUGGGUGGAGAGAAAAAAUGACGUGUGUAUGGAUUAGGCUCUCAAGCUUUGACUAUGUAUAAAGAUUAUAAUUUUGCCACUUCAUGCAAUAUAGUGACUGAUCGUGCUGCUGAUCAAGAUCGCAUCAAAUUACUUGAGGAAGAGAUGUUGCGAAUGAAAGAAAAUCAAGAGAGGAUUCUUCAAGAGCGUGUAGAGGCGGAAGUGCAACAACGCGUAGAGAAGGAGGUCUCGGAUCGGUUUAAGUCUAUGGAGGAUCGAUGGUCUCACAUGAUGAGCGUGAUGGGUUUAUCUUCUCGCUCAUCUGGUAGUCCUACUCUCCCUAACAGGGACUCACCAAAUGCUUAAGUGUUUAACAUUUUAGACUUUGGUUAGUUGGAUAUUCUAAGUGUUGUUUCCAACGUUGUCAGACUUUUGUUAGUUGGAUGCUUUGUAAGUUUAAAAUUUUUGUAGACUUUUGCUUAUUGAAGUGGUGUAUUUGCGUGUUUUAACUGUAAGUUUUUGUAUUAUAAAUUUAAUAUUAUGUUUGUCA